ACUUCAGGUAGAGCCUCUUGAAAACAGUGGAGGUGUGGUGCAGGUGUUUCAGAAUACUGUCCUUAGUCAGAGGAAUAUUGUGAUGUGGGGCAAAUGUUCCGUCGUCCGGUGGUUCUUGAGUAUAGUGCUUACCUUCAUGCCUCGUAUCUUGGAACACUUUGGUCGCUCGGGCGGUAAGAAGAGUUUUCAAAGGUCACAGGGAUGGUUAGUCGAGUGUGGUUUUCCUAUCAGUGAUGCGAGGGUCGUGUUAACUUAUCACCAGGAUCAUGAAAACUUCCUUGAAAUCCCGUGUAACUUGCCCCACAGCUUGUUGCAAGUGGUCGAGGUAGGAGAAGAGUACUUUAUUUUAUUUGUUUACAGAUUUUUCUUGUAUUCAUGAAAACCACCUUUGAGAACCAACGUAACUAGCACCGGAGUCUGCUGUCAGUAGUCCAGUUAAGAGAAUGGUGUUCUGAAGUAAAUAAGUAAAUAGCAAACGAGUAAUUUCCUCAUUUAUUGAUAGAUUUUCUUCUAUUUCAUGAAAACCAUCGUAAAAACCCAAGUAACUUGCACGUAGAGCUAUAAGUAGUCGAGGUAGGACAAUAGCGUCCCUGAGUAAAUAGCAGGUUGAGUCAUUCUUUGAUUUACUGGUAGAUAUUCCUGCAUUUCUCUUAAGAUCAUAAUCAGAAGUAACAGAGAAUCACUGCUCUUACCCGCACUAGCAUCAGACACCAAUAUUCUUCGCUAAAACCACACAAUCGUUCAUACAGAUCAUAUUUCCUCCAUGUGCACGAUGCAAAAGAGCCUCAUUUCCAUUCAAGUAUCGCCAGAAACACUCCAGGGCGCGAGGGCGGCCGCCUGGGACACCGGUAAAGCAAAUAACGUUGACUUUAUCAGCGGCGGGAGCAGCCUUUGCACGCGGGACUGGUUUGCCGAAAGUGUUGCGCUUCCUUAUUUGUGCUUAAAGAGACGAAGGCUAAAAGACCCAUCUGGAGAUUUAUGUGACCCUUGAUUAGUCCUUACAGGGUGCGAGGGAGUACCCUGCCUCACCCAUGCACCCAGCACACCCUCACACUGAUCUGGUGGUACUGCUCCUCGUGUGUGUGUGUGUGUGUAUGUGUGCAGGCUGCGGGCGGGUGUCGUUAACCCUGGCGCUCCCACAGAAAGUAUAGGCAAGUUUGAUCGUAAGUUGUAAUCUGCACAUCUUUAAGAGAGGCACUAAUUCUGUGUGCUCACUUUAUUAACUGCAUCCCCCAAUACAAGGCUGCGGAUUAUACAGCAGACGUGUAGCCGCUUAUUCUCCAGUUCCUGUAAAGACCGGGUAGACUCUUCAUUACAUUAGGGGGUAAGAAAGUGCUCAGUUUUCUUACAUGCUUAGGGUGGCGGUGGUCGCGCGUGUAGUAGUCAGUGCAAAGUUGUUUAUUCUUGGAGUGUGGCGGGUAAACAAGCUUCUGUCUCGCUGCGGAUCUGUUUGUGUGACAGAUGGCUGGGUUGUUUAUAUUGGCCGCAAAUUGUUCUCGGCUCUCAGUCCUCGCCGCCUCGUUUGUUUCCGUCAUGCCACGAGGCCUUGGGAGGAGGCAGCAGCGGAGUGUUUAGGGAAGAGGAACUGAAGGAGGAGGCUCAUCAUUUGCGGCGCGGGGUAAAGGGAAGGAAGAUGAUUGUCAGGCCUUAGUGGGAGAAACAAUCACAUGCAGCGUCUUCACUAAUUGUGCUCCUUGGCUCUGUUGUUCGCUUGAAAGGAAAACGGUCAUUAGUUAUUCAAAAUCGCUUUACUUCUCUUCAUUUUCUCCUUUCGUCUGUACCUCCACUUCUUCCCGCCUUCUCUCGAGCCUCAGCGUGUUGGCGGGAGGGUGGAAAUCCUUGUCACCCGUUCCUUCUCCUCCUCCUCCUUCUCCUCCUCUUCUUCCUCCUGGUUGUGUCCUCGCCUUAGUGUCAGGAGGGUAAAUAGAACCUGCGUCUCUCUUUCUAUAUAUUUUAUCCAGCGGGGACCUACAUCUGGCAGCAACGUUUUACAACAGGAAUCGAUUUUUAAGCAACCUUUUCAAAGUGUUGCUGACUGGGCGAUCAUCGAGAUUUAGCACAGCUCUCUUAUUUUGGCGGGUUUUAUAACGUUCCCGAAAGCCAGGGUACGGUUUUUUAAAGUAUUUAUUGCAUUAUUUCAGGACAUAUCGAAUGGUCUGACUUUCCUCCGUGUGUAUCAUUGAUUUUACGCGCUCGGGGAAGCUGAGGAAGCUGUGGUUAACUGGGGAGUAAUGACAGGCCACAGGAGUCUUUGAGCCUGCUUGAAUUGCCGUGGCGUGGGGAAAUAGCAGGAAUUGCACUCCCCGCAGGUCACAAUGAGGUCUUUGGAUAUACUGAUGGGGCAGCAGCGGCGGACGGCAUCACUUGCGUACACUCCCGGACCCCCGUCAGUGAGCGCGCACCUCGCCUCGCCCUGCCAGCAAUAGAUGGCACUGGCUGCCGCUCCUCCCGCACCUCGCAUCCUGGCCGGGUACGAUGCUUCCAAAUGAAUCCUUAAUUAUUACUGUCCUUUCCAUCUUAUCGUAACUUAUUAUAGCAUCAGGUUAUGGAGGAGUAAAAGACGGAGGUGAUGCGAGGUGUGUGGGUUGAGUAGAGUGAGGUGGGAGCGCGUGAGAAGUGCGAGAUAAGUGGUAAUCGUGCGGGGUGGCGGGGCGCGAGCGGGAGGCGGCGGUGAACUGGUCUGCUAGUAAACAGUCUACUGCUAGCCAGGUGACUUGUGUGCACGGAACACGCCUCCCACAGGGUAACUCGGCCACAGAUCAUUGAAAUACCGCUUUGCCUUCAUUGCUUUGCGUUACUACCCUGGGAAUCGUGAUCGGGGGAUACGUGCUUGUUUACUCACGCCGGGAAUAUUGAAAAGUCGUGGGGAUUUACAACGAGACGAAUACUACUUCGAGAAAGCCACAAGUGGUUGGGCAAUUGAUUGACGGCUGUGGCCAGAUCGAGGAGAUCAGACGAGCAUUAUUGCAAAGCCCAGGGCGGAGCUGUGGAACCAGUGUGGCGGCGGGAAGUGAGUGCUUGAAGCGAGUCGCCUCCCGGAGUGAAGGAGAGCCCGAAGUGUGCGUGUGAAGUGAGGCAUCCUGACGGCGAGAUAAGUGAGUGCCAGGCGCGCCUCGCACCGCCCGCAACACACCAGGUGAGUUGGUGGCUCGUGAGUAACCCUUCAGGAGGCCCGCGCCCCUCGCAGGUAAGGGCGGGACAUCUGACACUUCGACCCUUCGACCUUCCAACCUUCCAUUCAGUCAGAUAUGCAAGAAAGUUCUCAUCACUUAUUGCUGUGGAAGGAACAUGACAAAGGAGACAAGAGGCAAUGUGGAAACCAGCCACCAAUACUGCCAUUAGAACAGCGGCCAAUAAUGGAUUAAAAUUUGCAAGUAACGACACGUACGAGUAAACUUGCAUACAUAAUUCACAAAAGUAGAUAACGGGAAGAGAUUUUACUUGUUCAUAUAUUUACUCGUAUAUCUAUUGGUUUAUGACUACACGCAUUUAUUUCUUGGCUUGUUCUACUUGUUUAUUGAGGCGACGUGGCGGUGGUGGUGGUGGUAGUAGUGGUGGUGGUGGUGGUGGUGAGGGUUUCAGGAAGGCAGUCGAGCGGAAAACUCAUUUUGAACGCAAGGAACACGCCUUAGAAUUGAAUUAACCUUGUGAUGGUGGUGGUGGUGGUGGUUACGGUGGCAGUGGUGGUGUCAGUGGUGCAUGAAAAGUACAUUCGCCCCAAGAAGUGAUGACAUGAAAUCUAUUGAAAUAUCUUGAAAGUUUUGCAGAAUAUAUUUAUUUGAGGCCUUUGUGCGUGUUAUCCUUUUAAAACUGAUGAUGAUAAUGAUGAUGGUAGUAAUAAUAGUAAUAAUAAUAAUGAUAAUAAUAAUUUGUGGUUUAUUUACCAGGAAAGUUACAAGAUAUGAUGAUAACGUGAUGACUUACCUUACGAUCAAAAGUCUGAAGAUACAUCACUUAUUAAAAAUUGAAAGGGAGAAAUUUAUCAAAUAUAAGCAAAGACGUACUGGUAUUUUGUACACGCAAUGACUUUCUUGAACAAAUAAAUAAAUAAGCAAGCCAUAAAAGAGGUAGUUGAGAUGUUGGUGGCUCUGAUUUAUUUCCUGUUCACUUUCAUCUGGGAUUGUGAAAGGUUAGGUAGGUGAUGUCUUCUUAAGUGAUAAUGAUGAUGAUGAUGAUGAUGAUGAUGAUGAUGAUGAUGACCAAACUGUAUGUAAGAAAAAUAUAAUAAAAGUUAAAAAUGCUGAUGUUACUUUAUGUAUACAUGUAUGUUUUGCCUUAGGAAUUUACUAUGAACCAUCCAAGAACCACUAAGGAAGGUCCGUUCAACCAUACAUCCAUCCAUACAUCCUAAGGUUUACGUCGUAUUCAUCUAUCGAUCUAUCUAUCCAUUCAUCCUCUACUAUCUAUCCAUUCAUUUAAGGGCUAUUCACCCAUUCUUUCAUCUAUUUAUAUAUCUGUUUAUCCAUCCAUCCAUUUCUUUAAUACUCUAUUUGUUUAUAUAUCUGUUUAUCUAUCUAUAUAUCUAUCUAUCUAUCUAUCUAUCUAUCUAUCUAUCUAUAUGUUUCUGUAUCUACCUAUCUGUCUAUCUUCAUCCAUUCAUUUAUCUAUCCAUAUAUUUAUUAAUUUCUAAGAAUCUAAAAAUAACCCCCUUCACUUAAUUACAUACCAUUAUCUUAAAUGCUCUAAAUAAACCAUUCAUUUUCUACACUCCUUCACCAUUCACCACCUCCAUCACUACCACAGCUACAUUCCCAUACUCAUCAUCAUUUCCUGUCACGCUGUUCUUUAUUGUGUGUGUGUGUGUGUGUGUGUGUGUGUGUGUGUGUGUGUGUGUGUGUGUGUGUGUGUGUGUGUGUGUGUGUGUUGAGCGAUGCACCUAGUAUCGCCAAUAAAGGUUGUAAAUUGUAAAUGUUUGAUAAAAGGUUUGACUGUAAACAAGAUUGCGUUGUGGCUGUUUUUAAUGAUAUACGUGUGUGUGUGUGUGUGUGUGUGUGUGUGUGUGUGUGUGUGUGUGUACCUAAAAUGUAAC